AAACCAACAGGGAUUGCCUCAGUAACGGCGAGUGAAGCGGCAAAAGCUCAAAUUUGAAAUCUGGCGUCUUUGGCGUCCGAGUUGUAAUUUGAAGAUGGCAACUUUGGGUCUGGUGCUUGUCUAAGUUCCUUGGAACAGGACGUCAUAGAGGGUGAGAAUCCCGUAUGAUGAGAGAGCCAGAUCUUUGUAAAGUGCCUUCGAAGAGUCGAGUUGUUUGGGAAUGCAGCUCUAAGUGGGUGGUAAAUUCCAUCUAAAGCUAAAUAUUGGCGAGAGACCGAUAGCGAACAAGUACAGUGAUGGAAAGAUGAAAAGAACUUUGAAAAGAGAGUGAAAAAGUACGUGAAAUUGUUGAAAGGGAAGGGUUUGAGAUCAGACAUGGUAUUUUGUACACCUUCUCUCUCGGGAGGGGGCCUCUGCAGUUUACUGGGCCAGCAUCAGUUUGGACGGUAGGAUAAUGAUUAAGGAAUGUGGCUCUUCUUCGGGAGAGUGUUAUAGCCUUGGUUGAUACUGCCUGUCUAGACUGAGGACCG
rnacentral:rRNA from 1 species